rnacentral:rRNA from 1 species
UACGUAGGGGGCAAGCGUUGUCCGGAAUCAUUGGGCGUAAAGGGCGCGUAGGCGGAUAGUUAAGUCUGAUGUGAAAUACCAGGGCUCAACCCUGGGGCUGCAUCGGAAACUGGCAAUCUUGAGGACAGGAGAGGAAAGUGGAAUUCCUAGUGUAGCGGUGAAAUGCGUAGAUAUUAGGAGGAACACCAGUGGCGAAGGCGACUUUCUGGACUGUAACUGACGCUGAGGCGCGAAAGCGUGGGGAGCAAACAGG